ensembl:lncRNA
AUGCCAACUUUAGAAAAACAACAUCUUCUCUGCUUCAUUGUGGUUUCCAUGGAUACAAUCAAUGGUCUGAGAGUCAAGGGCCAGCUCGCUGCGGCAGUUAUCAGAGCGAUUGUCCUCCUGUCCAAGGCUCCAGCAGUGCCUUCAGGCAUCUGGCCGUGUCGUACCCGUGUCUUCACAAAUACCCUUCUACAGCGCCAGAUGUUUCUACACACGUCGCCGUCCAAUCGGAACACAAGUUUUCCCUCCCUGAAUCGAGUCCACCAGGUGGCAUUGCCAGAUAUUUGAGCGCGCUCCACAUGUUACUCGCAGAAUGCAGGAAGAACCAGGUGUUGAGAUCUCAGCAGGUGUGAGGACAAAGCCACCUGAUGCAAAGGUGUUUAUUUUGUCAGUUUGACUUCAGCUUUUAAAAAUGUUAUAGAUAAAUAUUUCAAUUUCUAUUUUUUUAUUUUAUUUUUGUUCUUAUUUGUCUUUGUUUCCUAUCCCUGUCAUUAUUUUGAAUUAAUUUGCCUGGAAUUUUAUUGUUUUAUUUCAAAUAUAACCUAUUAAUUUCAUACAAAGCAUAUACUGUACAGUGAGGUUUAAAACUCCACUUGAAAAAAAUGCUUCUAUUUUGCAUUUAUGUAUUUUUCCAUUAAAAAAUUAUUUUAUCAGCAUAACAAUUGAUGAACACUCAAUUAUUGAAAGAGAAGAUUUUCCUUUUUUCCACCUUUUGCUUUAAUGACAGCAGUACCCAAGCUGAUGUGAAAAAAGCUUGAAGAUCAUGUUUUCCAACAUGAUUUGAGAAUGUUUUAAAGAGCAUCUUGAGCUUUAAAUGGGAUUUGCAGUUCCAGAUUUUCAGUGUGAACCCUUGAACCUCACUUUACGUUCUUUAGUUUUCAUUAUUCAUAUACUCAACAUUUGUAUUUCAGCUACUGUAUCUGUGCACACCAUUUUUUAAAAAGCACUUUUUAUUAUAAAUUUAAAAAUCCCUUCCGAUCAUGUUUUACAAUGUACAAUAUGGCACUUUGUUUCCAUAGGGAUACUGAUGAAUGAGUGUUGAUUUCCGAGCCUACUGAUAAUGUAGUUACUAACAUAUUUCCUAUUUUCAUUUCCCCCUCUUCCCACAGAGAUUAAAGCAUCUUUUUAGCGGCGCAGAGCGGAGCAACAUUGCACUUCCUCAUACAUCAUGUGUGUCAGCACUCAAAUCUACUGCAUUGAAAAUUGCCCCACAAAUCAGCAAGCAAUAAAGGAAACAGAGCGUUGAAAAAACA